CUAGAAGGAGAAUAUGAUGGUGAUGUGGGUGAAUACGAUGGUGAUGUGGGGCUGCGACAAAAGAUUGAAAAGUUAAGCACAUAAUAAUUAUAAUGAAUUGGAAAGCUUAGAUGCAGAAAGACCAGUCAUCAAUCGACUAAGAAAAAAUUCAACUCAUCAAUACUUCGCAUUCUUUGAGAUGCCACAAAUGAACCCGACGGAAGUGUGCAAGAAGCUCACCUGUAAUUUGGAGAGGUAGGACUAUAUGGGCUAGCUGGUGACAAUCUUGGACUGCUCGGAGAGUAGGCUACCGAUGGGCUAUAUUUUGCAGAAGGAGGAUUAUAACUCGGAGAGGUAGGGCUAUAACUAGGAGAAGUUGGACUAUAACUCGGGGAAGUAGGGCUGUAACCCGGUGAAGUUGGGCUGUAGGCAGGUGAAGUUGGGCUGUAGGAUGGGGAUGUGGGGCUGUAGGAGGGGGAUGUGGGGCUGUAUGAAGGAGAUGUUGGGCUGUAGGAGGGGGAAGUGGGGCUGUAUGAAGGAGAUGUUGGGCUGUAUGAUGGUGAAGUUGGACUGUAUGCAGGGGAAGUGGGGCUGUACGCAGGGGAAGUGGGACUGUAAGCGGGGGAAGUCGGGCUGUAGCUUGGAGAGGUCGGGCUGUAGCUUGGAGAAGUCGGGCUGUAGCUUGGAGAGGUCGGACUGUAGCUUGGAGAGGUAGGUGAGUAAGAGGGGCUCGUAGGAGAAUAUGCUGGACUGGUUGGACUAUAACCUGGAGAGCUUGGACUAUAGGUUGGAGAAGUGGGACUAUAACCAGGGGAGGUGGGGCUGUAACCCGGCGAGGUGGGACUAUAACCAGGGGACGUGGGACUGUAUCCAGGGGAGGACGGACUGUAUCCAGGGGAGGAUGGGCUGUAACCCGGAGAUGAAGCAGGAGAGAAUGCCAUUCCACCGACAUAGGGAGAAAACUGAGCAUCUGAGAUGGGAGACAUUCGCAUAUUCGGGCUCAGCAAAUAAUUAGGUGACAUCAUUCCAUCACGGAAGGGAGUUCCCG
rnacentral:lncRNA from 1 species